CUAAGGGAGAGUUUCUUUCUGGAGAUCCCUCUUUGGUAGAGCCUUUCCCUCUGAACCCAGAAUCUUCUGAUGUGGAAUCUCCUAUACCGAAAACGACGAUCCAAUUAAAUCUAUGAAUGUUGUUGUGGGGAGAGCAUUCUGAGUUGCUGGAGACACUGUUAUCGUAUUUGUGUCAGAUUUGGCUGUUAUGAAACAAAUCAGUAUGCAAAACUUUCUUCAGCUAUUUCUGAGUGCCUUUUCUUCUUUGCUGGAUGAGAUGGACAGGUCUUCAAGCAGAGAUGUCUUACUUAAAGAAUCAAUUUGAGAAGAUUAGAGAACUGUAAGGCGUAACAUCAUGAAACAAAACCAAAACAAUGUCAAAACCUUGUGAAAAUGAUGGAGUCCCAUCCAUCACUUCAGGAGAGAAGCUGGGAGCAAAGUUAAAGCCUUCAGAGCACUGGAACAGCUGUUAAGUACAUGCGUGUGAUUUGUGUGCUGUGGAGCUUUAUCAUCCAUCUGAAGACAAGUUCUAACAUAACUCUUUUCUCAGCUUCCUUAUACUUUUAGAAUCAAGAUUCUCUGAAUUUUAUAAAGUAAUUUUGCUGAUUGCAUGUAUGCAGUAAAUGUUCCAUCUUGUCACUUCUAAUUAGCAAGAUAUAUUUCUUGUAACGCUUCAUUUCAUUGCAAUCAUUUUUUAUAUGAUACACUAUAAAUCAUGUUUGUGACACAGUUUUCCACUCAGAAUGAAAAUAAGCAUUAUAUAUAUGUAUAUAUUUGUGGUGUUAUGGGAAGAAUAUCAUCAGUGCUUCAUUGCGCAGGGCUUGUCUGUACUGCUGUGACUUGCAUGAAUAGCUGGAAUCCACUGUAGAUGCCUGUCUGAGGUCUAGUUAAUGUCAGAUUGGAAAUC